rnacentral:rRNA from 1 species
GAUGAACGCUGGCGGCGUGCCUAAUACAUGCAAGUCGAACGGACGGACGCUGAUUUUGCUGGUUGCUUGAUUGGCGAAGGGGUGUGAGUAACACGAGUAUAAUCCACCUGACUUUGUGGUAACAUCUCGAGAAUCCGGCUCUAACCCGGUAUAAGCUCCUGCUGCACGGGGUGGGUUGGAGAGAGUCGGCCGUGCGGGCUGGACUCGAGGGUUACGCGCUUCAUUAGCUAGUUGGUAAGGUAACGGCUUAUCAAGGGAACGAUGCAUAGCCGACCUGAGAGGGUGAUCGGCCACACUGGAACUGAGACACGGUCCAGACUCCUACGGGAGGCAGCAGUAGGGAAGCUUCCGCAAUGGGCGAAAGCGUGACGGAGCAACGCCGCGUGAGUGAUGAAGGUCGUCGGAUCGUAAAACUCUGUUAUUAGGGAAGAACAUAUGUGUAAGUAACUGUGCACAUCUUGACGGUACCUAAUCAGAAAGCCACGGCUAACUACGUG